rnacentral:rRNA from 1 species
CCUACGGGAGGCAGCAGUGAGGAAUAUUGGUCAAUGGGCGCGAGCCUGAACCAGCCAAGUAGCGUGAAGGAUGACUGCCCUACGGGUUGUAAACUUCUUUUAUAAAGGAAUAAAAUGAGGCACGUGUGCCUUUUUGUCUGUACUUUAUGAAUACGGAUCGGCUAACUCCGUGCCGGCAGCCGCGGUAAUACGGAGGAUCCGAGCGUUAUCCGGAUUUAUUGGGUUUAAAGGGAGCGUAGGGGGGUUGUUAAGUCAGUUGUGAAAGUUUGCGGCUCAACCGUAAAAUUGCAAUUGAUACUGGAAGUCUUGAGUACAGUUGAGGUAGGCGGAAUUCGUGGUGUAGCGGUGAAAUGCUUAGAUAUCACGAAGAACUCCGAUUGCGAAGGCAGCUUACUAAACUGCCACUGACAUUGAUGCUCGAAAGUGUGGGUAUCAAACAGGAUUAGAUAUCCGAGUAGUC